GUUAAAAUAAAAUUAAAGGACGAGAAGACCCUAUAGAUCUUUAUUUUUGUUAUUUAUAAAUUAAAAAGAAUUUUAAAAUUUAUAAUUUAAUAAAAAAUUUUAUUGGGGUGAUAUUAAAAUUUAAAAAACUUUUAAAAUUUAUUAACAUAAAUAUAUGAAUAAAUGAUCCAGUUUUAUUGAUUAAAAAUUUAAGUUACCUUAGGGAUAACAGCGUAAUUUUUUUUUAGAGUUCUUAUCGACAAAAAAG
rnacentral:rRNA from 1 species